AAAGAACCCUAAUGAAGUCAUUCUGAGCUGGUAAUGAAUAGGCCUUUCUUUCCCACAGCCCUCCCUUGCCUGGACCAGAAGAAACGGAUUAAUAAUCACAGAACCUGCUGUCUCCUUGGCCUCCCUCCUCCUCCAAUACCUCCUCCUCCGCCACCGCUAUUUCCUCUAUCACAGUUCCAGGGAGCAUGGAGUUCUAUGUUGCUGGAUCUGGAUUGGAACCACUUAUGUCAAGAGCUUCAGAUAACAGACUCUCCGUGUAUAGAAUCUGUAUGCCUUCCAGGGCCUCCUGGUCCCCAGGUUGGUAUUUCCUUUUAGAAUGGACAAAAUGGAAUCCUAUGGACUGUUUUCCUGGUAUGUGCUAUUUCCAGACAGUGAGAGAGAUCAGGAAUGACAUGGUGGCAGGAAAACAGGAAAGACUGCUAAGAAAGUUAUUUUGUUACGUUAAAGACGCUCAUGUGGCAAUCGUUUGUUUAACUUAU
rnacentral:lncRNA from 1 species